CCCAUGGCUGUCUACAGACACAGAGACCCGGAAGGUACACUAUGUCACACAGUAACGUUACAGCCACCAGUACAGGGGAGACAUCAACAGAGCGAGGCAGGUGAGCGGAGAUAGAGGCUUGCUGCACUCAGCCGCUCGUCACAGCGCCACCCGUGGCUCGGAGGUACAAAAUUCAUGCUGACGUCUCAACGAGUUAUCAGGAGGGGGGGCGGAGCCUUCCAUUCCGAACGGUUCCGGAAACAUCCGACGAGAGCCGAGCAUCCCCAACCAAAAUGGCGGCGGCGGCUGUGGUGGAGGUGAUGAUGAUGGGUCGGCAGUGAGUGACUCUGCUUGUGGCCGCCGCAGACACCAGUGCCGAGCGGGGACUCGCCGGGCUCUCUCUAGUUUUCGUUUUAAUUUUUUUUAUUUUCUCCCCCGAGGUGUUUUACCACAGAGGAAGCCCCCCCGCCCCCCCCCGGGUGUAUCUAACCGUCUGUCUCCGGGCCUCGCAGCUCCACAGACACCGGCUGGCACUCAGCCGCACUCAGCGCCAUCCAUGCUCAGGAAGCGGCGGCCCUGUAUGAACGAUGUGUGAGAUCUGCACGGACCUGGUGGAGGUGUUAAACGAGAGUAAGUCCCGGCUCGGACCGGCCCGGGGAGGGGUCCUGGAGGGAGGGAGGGAGGG